rnacentral:rRNA from 1 species
GACGUAGGGCGCGAGCGUUGUCCGGAUUUAUUGGGCGUAAAGAGCUCGUAGGCGGCUUGUUGCGUCAGCUGUGAAAACCCGCAGCUCAACUGUGGGCUUGCAGCUGAUACGGGCAGGCUUGAGUUCGGUAGGGGAGACUGGAAUUCCUGGUGUAGCGGUGAAAUGCGCAGAUAUCAGGAGGAACACCUGUGGCGAAGGCGGCCAGCUGGGCCGGACCUGACGCUGAGACGCGAAGGCGUGGGGAGCGAACGGG